rnacentral:ncRNA from 1 species
UGCGACGGGUUGACUCAAUCAGAUAACUUCGGUUAUUCCGCUCAAGCGGCUGGUGAUUGGUUAAUUAGCAGAGGCAGAGUGAUCUUCACUAACUACCGGAUGUAGUUGUCGGACAAAGACUUUUGUGGAGAA